rnacentral:misc_RNA from 1 species
GUAGGUGAACCUGCGGAAGGAUCAUUAACAAUGGCGCACAAGAUAUAGGGCCGGUAGGUCCUAUAUCGUGUGAUGAGUGCUUUUAAGUUUGACAUAAUAAGAGUGAUUUUAAGUGAUACAACUUUUAACAACGGAUCUCUAGGCUCUU